GUCGUUUUUUAACUGCUUUUUCUGCUCUUCUCUCUCCGUGUGUGUAAGGGGAAUGGCUGCUAGAGAGAGGUUUAUUCAGGAUACUGAGUGCCUGUCAGUGUGAAGUGAAGCUGACAGAGGAAGAUCCUGAAAUGUUAAUAGGGAGAAUCUUGUGCAGGAUCUCUCUAUAAGGAACAAAGUGAAUAAGUAUGAGAUUGUAGAUACGUUAUUCUCAGUUAUGUUUAUGAAAUUAAAGUCCCUUUUGAAUAUAAGGAGUCUGGACAUUGCACAACCUGCUGCAGCUGAGAACCAAGGCAAGACUAUGAGUAAGUAAUUCAUAUUUAAAGCUGAUUUCCACAGUUUCUUGAUUUCUUUGUUAAGCAGGGUAAAGGAAAAGGGGGAGUCCACUUGCUCUGCAGCUAGACUUACUUAAAAGAAGCCUUCACAGCUGAUUCCUACAUGUUUCAGUUUUGCUGCUAAGGGUGGGGCUUUUGAACUCUGUUCAGCCACACACACAGAGACACAUAUGAUGAGUACCUGGAGGGAUAAAUUGCAAUUAAUAUAUCCUCUCCCACCUAUGAAAAUGCCACAGAGAGUUCCACACAGUAACUGUGUGAAGGACUUUAUUUUCUCUAUCCUGAAUCUUCCAAUAUUCAGCUUCAUGGCAAGUCCUUGAGUUUUGGUGUCUUGAGAGAGGGAGAAAAACCAUUUCCUGUCUGCUUCCUCUGUGCUGUGCAGGAUCUUAUGGGCUUCUACCAUGUCCUUUCUUACUCAUCUUUUCUCUGAGAUAAAAAACCCCAAACACUGCUGCCUUUCCUGUUCUACCCCUUUGAUCAUUUUCUGAAUCUUUUCCAACUCUGCCUUCUCCUUUUGCAAGUGAGGCAGCUGGAGAAUGAAAUUCUCCCCGGGUACUAGGAAGCAUGACACAAAGGGAACUGUUCUCCUUGAGAACUUUUCCCUGGUCUGUUCUGAAUUUUUAGGGAAGUUUAGGGAAGUUUUUUAAUGACUGAUGUUUUAAUGUAUUUUUAAUCUCGUGUUGGAAGUCGUCCAGAGUGGCUGGGGAAAUUUAUUAUAAGUAGUUAUUGUUGUUGUUGUUGUUGUUGUUGUUGUUAUUUUAUUAUGAACAAAUUAGGAACGAGUGACAGUGGAGUCUCAGCGAUGGACCCGUUCAUGUUGCCUCAAUAUAAGAAGAGAAUUUUGGGUUGCAGAGAGACGCUGAACAUUGAACAGGAGAAGCAUCGGCGCUUUUUUGUUCUAGUUGGAGAUGAAUCAGCGUACAGGAGGGAGGUUCAAAAAAUAUCUGCAUGGUGCCUAGAGAAUAACUUGCACCUAAAUAUUAGCAAGACAAAGGAGAUGGUGUUGGACUUUCGGAGGAAGAGAGGGGAACCUGCCCCGUUGUAUAUCAGGGGUGGUUGUGUGGAGAGAGUCUCUUCCUUUAAAUUCCUGGGAGUUUACCUUAGUGAAGACCUCACGUGGAAAAGCAAUGUAACUCAGGUUGUUAGGAAGGCCCAACAGAGACUCGAUUUCCUCAGGGUCUUGCGAAAGAACACUGUUAAACAACAAUUGAUGACUUCCUUCUACCAAUCCACAAAAGAAAGUGUCCUCUUAUAUUGUAUCACAGUGUGGUACGUUGGCUUGACAGCCACGGACGAAAGUCUCUACAGAGGGUGGUGAACACAGUACAUGAUAUCAUGGGCUGUCCCCUGAGCCCGCUAGAUGAUAUCGCAAAGGAUCGUGGCCUUAGGAGAGCGGGAAAAAUUCUCAGGGACGAUUCACACCCCGGCCAGCACCUCUUUAAUCUUCUACCCUCGGGCAGGAGAUAAAGUAUAAUCAGUCAUGCCAACAAGCUAAAAAACAGUUUCUAUCCAUGGGCUGUUAGGCUGCUGAAUGGAAAAUAAUACAGUGGUACCUCUCCUUGCAAAUGGGAUCCGUUCUGGAGGCCCGUUCACAACGUGAAAAGAGCGCAACCCGCAGCGACGCGUCUGCGCACACAUGGGUUGUGAUUCACCGCUUCUGCGCAUGCGUGUGACAUCAUUUUGCAUUUCUGCGCAUGCGCAAGCGACAAAACCCGGAAGUAACCCUUUCUGGUACUUCCGGGUUGCUGUGGGACGUAACCUGAAAGAAAGUAACAUGAAGUGGACGUAACAUGAGGUAUGACUGUAUAGUGCAACUGACUUUCGGGGUUGGUGUGUUGUGCAACAAGCACACAUAGUACAAUGAGAUUGAAUGUUUGUGCGGGGGGGGGGAGACUCGGUUAAUUUCAUUGUACACAGGUUGUACAUUGACAAUAAAGGUAUUAUUAUUAUUAGUUUAUUAUAAAGCAUGCCACUAGUCCUCAUGGAGGCAGCAUGCCACAAUCCAUGUGGCUCACCCCUUCCCCAUCACAUAGGGUUGUUGGGUGGGUUGAAUGGCAGAGAGGGCAGAACCACAUCAGCUACUUUGAACGCCUUGGAGGGAAAAUGCAAAUGGACCAUAAAUGCAAUAAAGAAAUAGUUUUGACAUGCAAACUAGGCCAGGAUUUUACCACAAGGCAGCCAGUGUGGUGUGGUGGUGAGAGUCUCAGACUGGCCAUAAAACCCCCUGACUGACCCUUGGGCCAGUCACUGCAUCUCAACCUCCCCUCUCACCACCUUGAGUCCCUUGCAGAAAAGGGGCAGGAUAUAAAUGCAAGCCAUGGCAGCACCUGCACUUUGGAACUCCCUGCCACUUCAGACCAAGCAGGUGGCUUCACUGUACGCUUCUCGGUUCCUGCUAAAAACAUUCUUUUUUAGACAAGUCUGCCCAGAAGCUUAGGAAGCUGGUGUGAAUUUUAGCCUGUUUUAGCUUUUUAACUUUUUGUACAUGUAUCAUAACCUCCCCCCCCCCCCCCGAUUUUAUGGUUUUCAUAAAAUUCUCUGGUGUUUAAAUUUCAUGGAAUGAAUCAAUCAAUCAAUCAAUCAAUCAAUCAAAGUGGCCUUGAAUCAGUCGUCCCUCAUCCAAGAUCUGAUUAUGGAUGAAGAGGCCUAUUUGAUACAUAGGGCUGCCUCGGAAGACGGUUUGGAAACUUCAUGUCAGGGGCUGGCUGGAUGAAGAGGAGGAGCCACCAGCUGGGGAACCCCCAAGGGAAACCCCAGAGGAGUAAGGCUUAGAGUCCGGGGAUUGGUGGUGGGGCACCGAGGAGAGGUCAGAGGGAGAAGAUUGGCAGGAGGGGCGGAUGCGUAAGGGACAACAGGCUUUAGUGAGCAGGAAGAACCUGUGUCAGAGAGCAGUUCAGGCUGAAGCAAAGGAGGGGGCCAAGGGGCUGAUGAAGAAUUCAGAGUCUCCCUGUUCUGCUGCGACAAGCUCCCCUCAUCGUUGUCCUCCCAGGACAUGCAGAGAAACGAAAAGAGCGGAACAGGGGCCAGAGGUGUGCAGACACAAUUUGAGGCUGCUUGGGAAACAUCCGGGAGAGGAGGAG